rnacentral:rRNA from 1 species
CAGUCGCCGCGGUAAUACGUAGGGUGCAAGCGUUAAUCGGAAUUACUGGGCGUAAAGCGCGCGUAGGUGGUUUGUUAAGUUGGAUGUGAAAGCCCCGGGCUCAACCUGGGAACUGCAUCCAAAACUGGCAAGCUAGAGUACGGUAGAGGGUGGUGGAAUUUCCUGUGUAGCGGUGAAAUGCGUAGAUAUAGGAAGGAACACCAGUGGCGAAGGCGACCACCUGGACUGAUACUGACACUGAGGUGCGAAAGCGUGGGGAGCAAACAGGAUUAGAUACCCGCGUAGUCCCUGUCUCUUAUAA